rnacentral:rRNA from 1 species
CCCUUAGAUGUCCUGGGCCGCACGCGCGUUACACUGAUGCAUUCAACGAGCUUAUAACCUUGGCCGAGAGGCCUGGGCAAUCUUGUUAACGUGCAUCGUGAUAGGGAUAGAUUAUUGAAAUUAUUAAUCUUGAACGAGGAAUUCCUAGUAAACGCAGAUCAUCAAUCUGCAUUGAUUACGUCCCUGCCCUUUGUACACACCGCCCGUCGCACCUACCGAUUGGAUGGUCCGGUGAAGCCUCGGGAUUGUGGUUCUUGCCGCUUUAUUGUGGCGCGACCGCGAGAACUUGUCUAAACCUUAUCAUCUAGAGGAAGGUGAAGUCGUAACA